rnacentral:rRNA from 1 species
GUCCAGGCAAAUCCGGAUAAUCAAGGCUGAGGUGUGAUGACGAGGCACUACGGUGCUGAAGUAACAAAUGCCCUGCUUCCAGGAAAAGCCUCUAAGCAUCAGGUAACAUUAAAUCGUACCCCAAACCGACACAGGUGGUCAGGUAGAGAAUACCAAGGCGCUUGAGAGAACUCGGGUGAAGGAACUAGGCAAAAUGGUGCCGUAACUUCGGGAGAAGGCACGCUGGUGUGUAGGUGAAGUCACUGCGGAUGGAGCUGAGACCAGUCGAAGAUACCAGCUGGCUGCAACUGUUUAUUAAAAACACAGCAC